UGGAUAACUUUCACAUAUGCAGUUCACAAAAGCUGUGCAUGUAAUCCCCAAGAGGGUGAGAAAGGCAAUGAAAUGAUUUUAUUUUUUUUUCUCUCCUCUAGCAAAGAUAUUCUCAAAUGAGGAAAUAGGCAUCUAAUUCAGAAGAAUAUUCUGACUGGAGAACUCUAUUCUUAUCAAGUAUCACAGAAGACCAUAACUCUCAAAAAUGCUGUCUACAUACCAAAAGACAUGGAGUUUUCUAGAAUAGAUGAAUAGUUACUGGACUUCUACCCCAGAGCUUGUGGGAGCACUUUGGAAAAAAACUGUGAUUUAUUUCAGAAGCCAGGGAAUCUCUUUUCCUCACAGUCCAGAUAUCCAACUAACAAAAGUGAAGGAGAGAUGCAAGAUCUCAGACUUCUUUCUACCCUUGCCUAUUAACACACACCUGAGCUUAGAAGAGAAAUAUUAUUGGACCUCAACUAAGAGUGUUGUUUUGUGUUGGUUUUUUUUUCUUAUCAAACACUUGUUUAUCACAAUGUAG
rnacentral:lncRNA from 1 species